UACGGGAGGCAGCAGUGAGGAAUAUUGGACAAUGGUCGGAAGACUGAUCCAGCCAUGCAGCGUGCAAGAAGACGGCCGUUGGGUUGAAACCGUUUACGCCGCACUCCUACAUCUAAACUAUGGUUUGUAAACUGCUUUUGACGGAAAAAAUAAUACCCACCUGUGGGUAGAUGACGGUACCGUACCAAUAAGGACCGGCUAACUCCGUGCCAGCGGCCGCGGUAAU
rnacentral:rRNA from 1 species